rnacentral:rRNA from 1 species
UACGUAGGUGGCAAGCGUUAUCCGGAUUUACUGGGUGUAAAGGGCGAGUAGGCGGGAUUGCAAGUCAGAUGUGAAAACUAUGGGCUCAACCGAUAGAGUGCAUUUGAAACUGCAGUUCUUGAGUGGUGGAGAGGCAGGCGGAAUUCCCGGUGUAGCGGUGGAAUGCGUAGAUACCGGGAGGAACACCAGUGGCGAAGGCGGCCUGCUGGACAUUAACUGACGCUGAGGCGCGAAAGCGUGGGGAGCAAACAGG